rnacentral:rRNA from 1 species
ACCGAAAGGUAUGCUAAUACGAGAUAAUAUACUUUUAUCGCAUGGUAGAAGUAUCAAAGCUCCGGCGGUACAGGAUGGACCCGCGUCUGAUUAGCUAGUUGGUAAGGUAACGGCUUACCAAGGCGACGAUCAGUAGCCGACCUGAGAGGGUGAUCGGCCACAUUGGAACUGAGACACGGUCCAAACUCCUACGGGAGGCAGCAGUGGGGAGUAUUGCACAAUGGGCGAAAGCCUGAUGCAGCAACGCCGCGUGAGCGAUGAAGGCCUUCGGGUCGUAAAGCUCUGUCCUCAAGGAAGAUAAUGACGGUACUUGAGGAGGAAGCCCCGGCUAACUACGUGCCAGCAGCCGCGGUAAUACGUAGGGGGCUAGCGUUAUCCGGAAUUACUGGGCGUAAAGGGUGCGUAGGUGGUUUCUUAAGUCAGAGGUGAAAGGCUACGGCUCAACCGUAGUAAGCCUUUGAAACUGGGAAACUUGAGUGCAGGAGAGGAGAGUGGAAUUCCUAGUGUAGCGGUGAAAUGCGUAGAUAUUAGGAGGAACACCAGUUGCGAAGGCGGCUCUCUGGACUGUAACAGACACUGAGGCACGAAAGCGUGGGGAGCAAAACAGGAUUAGAUACCCUGGUAGUCCACGCCGUAAACGAUGAGUACUAGCUGUCGGAGGUUACCCCCUUUCGGUGGCGCAGCUAACGCAUU